rnacentral:rRNA from 1 species
GACGAACGCUGGCGGCGUGCUUAACACAUGCAAGUCGAACGGAAAGGCCCUGCUUUUGUGGGGUGCUCGAGUGGCGAACGGGUGAGUAACACGUGAGUAACCUGCCCUUGACUUUGGGAUAACUGCAGGAAACUGGGGCUAAUACCGGAUAGGAGCUCCUGCUGCAUGGUGGGGGUUGGAAAGUUUCGGCGGUUGGGGAUGGACUCGCGGCUUAUCAGCUUGUGGGUGGGGUAGUGGCUUACCAAGGCUUUGACGGGUAGCCGGCCUGAGAGGGUGACCGGCCACCUUGGGACUGAGAUACGGCGCAGACUCCUACGGGAGGCAGCAGUGGGGAAUAUUGCACAAUGGGCGGAAGCCUGAUGCAGCAACGCCGCGUGCGGGAUGACGGCCUUCGGGUUGUAAACCGCUUUCGCCUGUGACGAAGCGUGAGUGACGGUAAUGGGUAAAGAAGCACCGGCUAACUACGUG